CCUACGGGGGGCAGCAGUGGGGAAUAUUGGGCAAUGGGCGCAAGCCUGACCCAGCAACGCCGCGUGAAGGAAGAAGGCCCUCGGGUUGUAAACUUCUAUUAUUCGGGACGAAACAAAUGACGGUACCUAAUGAAUAAGCCACGGCUAACUACGUGCCAGCAGCCGCGGUAAUACGUAGGGGGCAAGCGUUAUCCGGAUUUACUGGGUGUAAAGGGCGUGUAGGCGGGAGGGCAAGUCAUAUGUGAAAUUCCAAGGCUCAAC
rnacentral:rRNA from 1 species